UACGAAGGGUGCAAGCGUUACUCGGAAUUACUGGGCGUAAAGCGUGCGUAGGCGGUUUGUUAAGUCCGUUGUGAAAGCCCUGGGCUCAACCUGGGAAUUGCAGUGGAUACUGGCGAGCUAGAGUGCGGUAGAGGAUGGCGGAAUUCCCGGUGUAGAGGUGAAAUUCGUAGAUAUCGGGAGGAACACCUGUGGCGAAGGCGGCCAUCUGGACGUCAACUGACGCUGAGACGCGAAAGCAUGGGGAGCAAACAGG
rnacentral:rRNA from 1 species